GACGAACGCUGGCGGCGUGCUUAACACAUGCAAGUCGAACGGAAAGGCCCUGCUUGCAGGGUAUUCGAGUGGCGAACGGGUGAGUAACACGUGGGUGAUCUGCCCUGCACUUCGGGAUAAGCCUGGGAAACUGGGUCUAAUACCGGAUAGGAGCCAUUUCUAGUGUGAUGGUUGGAAAGUUUUUUCGGUGAAGGAUGAGCUCGCGGCCUAUCAGCUUGUUGGUGGGGUAAUGGCCUACCAAGGCGGCGACGGGUAGCCGGCCUGAGAGGGUGGACGGCCACAUUGGGACUGAGAUACGGCCCAGACUCCUACGGGAGGCAGCAGUGGGGAAUAUUGCACAAUGGGCGCUAGCCUGAUGCAGCGGCGCCGCGUGGGGGAAGACGGCCUUCGGGUUGUAAACUCCUUUCGCUAGGGACGAAGCUUUUUGUGACGGUACCUAGAUAAGAAGCACCGGCUAACUACGUG
rnacentral:rRNA from 1 species